rnacentral:rRNA from 1 species
CCUACGGGAGGCAGCAGUAAGGAAUAUUGCGCAAUGGGCGAAAGCCUGACGCAGCGACGCCGCGUGGGGGAUGAAGGUCUUCGGAUUGUGAACCCCUUUCGGGAGGGAAGAUGGGAUGGGGUAACCCAUUCGGACGGUACCUCCAGAAGCAGCCACGGCUAACUUCGUGCCAGCAGCCGCGGUAAU